ACUGCUAUCUUUGAGGCUUUCAUUGUUAUUAAACUUAAAUUUUCAUAAAUUUUCUGUCAUAAAUUUAUGAGUUACACAAACAUUGAAAGUUUCCUAUCAUGAGGCUGGAAAGCAUAGGAUCUCCUUAGUAUCAGUCCCUAGUAUUUACAUCGCACUAACAUUGCUCUUUGCUCUUCUUACGUGAUAGAAUGAAAGAAGAAAGAGAGUCCUGCCAUCACUCCACAACAGCAAGACCAUGACGGGGAGAACUGGAAGUUGGACCUGACAUUUCAAUGACUACAGGUGAAGAGUGGUGUCGACAUCUGGUUCGCUGCUGGAAACCGGGAAGCGUGCGGCGGUCUGAUCGAGCCACGAGCUCACUGACGGUGAGGUGGACUGCGAACCCGAGCGAUCGCUGUGGUCAUCGAACCAACCGGGCGGAGGACCACGGAGAGGCCUGGACGGACGAAUUAGAUCGGGAUGGAUGAACCACACGGGUCGGCGACACUGCUGCUGUUCCCUCUCUUCCCUCAUCUCUUUCACUCUCUGUAGCUGUCUGAAUCGCUCUUGCAGCAGCGCGAUGGACGACUGCGUCACGGUUGGUUGGUUGCCGUGCCUCCUCCCCAUGAAUCAGCUUGGAACAGGGGGAGAGGAGAAUCCAUGGGAGGGAUGCAAAGUCCAAGAGGGAAGAAGUUGGGGGGUGGUGGACGGGGGCAGGGCCAAAGCCACUUUUGCAAGGGAGAUUAAAGUAUGAGAGCAGCUCCAAAGACAUGCAUGGAGGUUAGCAUUUGGAGGAGAAUCAAAGGUUCUUUGUUCUAUAUGCUUAGCUCUGGGAAUCUGAACCCCGUAGCGGACCCGAUGAAGAAGAAAAGGUUCAGCCGACGCCACGAACGAUCCAGAUCGCCAUAAAGCUCCAGGUACGACACCCUCCUUCCCCAGGCAUGAGUCGAUCACAUUACUGCACUGUGCACCGGUGGCGGUACUUUUGGCGGUCUAAUCGCCGCUAGGGACAAAACCGGAGCUUAGAAGGGGAUAAUUAUUGGGCUCGGUGAGCAGCUCUGCCUGAACUCCUUUUGUCCGGGAGUUAUUGGAAGGGAUGACGUGAUGGUGGCCAUUGACGCUUGAUGUUGCUCCAUCUUUGUCAUGCCUGUCCUUCCUAGGCAUCCCCAUCCCCACUCUACUCACUUUGGUGUUCCCUAGGCUGGCUUCGGAUGGUCCCCGGAGCUGCAUCAUAGCAACCAGGAUCACCACCUAUUUCUGUCUCGGGCCAGCUUAAAAGAGGACUCUCAUGAUGCAUUGAACUUAACUAGUGAUGAGUAGCGUUCAGUGUUGACAUAGUACACAAAACGAACGAGA